rnacentral:rRNA from 1 species
GAGAGGUGCUGCAUGGCUGUCGUCAGCUCGUGUUGUGAAAUGUUGGGUUAAGUCUCGCAACGAGCGCAACCCCUAUCGUCUGUUGCCAGCAUUAAGUUGGGCACUCUGACGAGACUGCCUGGGUUAACCAGGAGGAAGGUGGGGAUGACGUCAAGUCCUCAUGGCCCUUAUGUCUAGGGCUACACACGUAAUACAAUGGCGCGUACAGAGGGAAGCGAACCAGCGAUGGGGAGCAGAUCUCAAAAAGCGCGCCUCAGUUCGGAUUGGAGUUUGCAACUCGACUCCAUGAAGUUGGAAUCGCUAGUA